AGCACAAGCCCAAGUAUACUACGCUAAUGAUCAAUUGGACCAUAUUAUCGAUCCUAUUUUAAGGGAACAAAUAAGCCCACACUCCUUGAGAAAAUUUUCAACAAUCGCAUAUAAAUGUCUGCAGGCUCAAGAAAAGCGUCCUGAGAUGGAUGUUGUUAAGAAAGAGCUUGAAGAAACGCUAGAAAUCGAGGUACUUCAUUGGAGAAGUUUUUUCUCAAGACAUUGGUAUAUUCUUAAUGUUGAAGAUUUAUCUCCAGAAACUCAUAUUGAGCAAAAACGGGCCGAAAGAUUAAAGCGUCUCUCCAUAUCAUAUAUCAUGUGAUCAGGAGGAUAGAA